rnacentral:rRNA from 1 species
AUUGAACGCUGGCGGCAGGCCUAACACAUGCAAGUCGAACGGUAACAGGAAACAGCUUGCUGUUUCGCUGACGAGUGGCGGACGGGUGAGUAAUGUCUGGGAAACUGCCUGAUGGAGGGGGAUAACUACUGGAAACGGUAGCUAAUACCGCAUAACGUCGCAAGACCAAAGAGGGGGACCUUCGGGCCUCUUGCCAUCGGAUGUGCCCGGAUGGGAUUAGCUAGUAGGUGGGGUAACGGCUCACCUAGGCGACGAUCCCUAGCUGGUCUGAGAGGAUGACCAGCCACACUGGAACUGAGACACGGUCCAGACUCCUACGGGAGGCAGCGGUGGGGAAUAUUGCACAAUGGGCGCAAGCCUGAUGCAGCCAUGCCGCGUGUAUGAAGAAGGCCUUCGGGUUGUAAAGUACUUUCAGCGGGGAGGAAGGGAGUAAAGUUAAUACCUUUGCUGAUUGACGUUACCCGCAGAAGAAGCACCGGCUAACUCCGUG